UACGGAGGGUGCAAGCGUUAUCCGGAUUCACUGGGUUUUAAAGGGUGCGUAGGUGGGCAGUUAAGUCAGUGGUGAAAUCUCCGGGCUCAACCCGGAAACUGCCAUUGAUACUAUCUGUCUUGAAUAUCGUGGAGGUAAGCGGAAUAUGUCAUGUAGCGGUGAAAUGCUUAGAUAUGACAUAGAACACCAAUUGCGAAGGCAGCUUACUACCCGAAUAUUGACACUGAGGCACGAAAGCGUGGGGAUCAAACAGG
rnacentral:rRNA from 1 species